GACGAACGCUGGCGGCAUGCCUAAUACAUGCAAGUAGAACGCAGUUGCGAACGGGUGAGUAACGCGUAGGUAACUGCUUGGUAGUGGGGGAGAACUACUGGAAACGAUAGCAACUAACGCCUCCUACCAGAUGGACAUGCGUGGUCUUAGCUAGUUGGGGGGGUAACGGCUUAACAAGGCGACGGUACAUAGCCGACCCGGGAGGGGUAUCGGCCACACUGGGACUGGGACACGGCCCAGACUCCUACGGGAGGCAGCAGUAGGGAAUCUUCGGCAAUGGACGGAAGUCUGACCGAGCAACGCCGCGUGAUGUAAGAAGGUGUUCUGAUCUUAAAGCUCUGUUGUAAGAGAAGCGGUAUCUUACCAGAAAGGGACGGCUAACUACGUGCCAGCAGCCGCGGUAAUUC
rnacentral:rRNA from 1 species